rnacentral:rRNA from 1 species
GAUGAACGCUAGCGAUAGGCCUAACACAUGCAAGUCGAGGGGCAUCACAUGAAGUAGCAAUACGGAUGGUGGCGACCGGCGCACGGGUGAGUAACACGUAUGCAACCUGCCUUCAACAAGGGGAUAACCCGUUGAAAGACGGACUAAUACCCUAUAACACAGGGGUCCCGCAUGGGAAUAUUUGUUAAAGGACAACCGGUUGAAGAUGGGCAUGCGUUCCACUAGCUAGUUGGCGGGGUAACGCCCACCAAGGCAACGAUGGAUAGGGGAACUGAGAGGUUUAUCCCCCACACUGGUACUGAGACACGGACCAGACUCCUACGGGAGGCAGCAGUGAGGAAUAUUGGUCAAUGGACGCAAGUCUGAACCAGCCACGUCGCGUGAAGGAAGACGGCCCUACGGGUUGUAAACUUCUUUUGCAAGGGAAUAAAGUGGGCCACGUGUGGCCUUUUGCAAGUACCUUGCGAAUAAGGAUCGGCUAACUCCGUGCCAGCAGCCGCGGUAAGUACUGACU